rfam:Sphaerobolus stellatus SS14 unplaced genomic scaffold SPHSTscaffold_14, whole genome shotgun sequence.
GGGCAUGUGGUUUAGGGGUAUAACAUUCGCUUAGCAUGCGAAAGGUCCUGGGUUCAAUUCCCAGCUUGUCCA